rnacentral:rRNA from 1 species
AACGAAAGCUUAGCUUUAGUGGCAAACGGGUGAGUAACACGUAAGAAUCUGCCUUCAGGAGGGAAAUAACAUUUGGAAACGAUUGCUAAUGUCCCAUAUGCUGAAAAGUGAAAUAAUUUUUGCCUGAAGAUGAGCUUGCGCCUGAUUAGCUAGUUGGUAAGGUAAUGGCUUACCAAGGCUACGAUCAGUAGCUGGUUUGAGAGGAUGAUCAGCCACACUGGAACUGAGACACGGUCCAGACUUCUACGGAAGGCAGCAGUGGGGAAUUUUCCGCAAUGGGCGAAAGCCUGACGGAGCAAUACCGCGUGAGGGAUGAAUGCCUGUGGGUUGUAAACCUCUUUUAUCAGGGAAGAAUAUUGACGGUACCUGAUGAAUAAGCAUCGGCUAACUCCGUGCCAGCAGCCGCGGUAAUACGGGGGAUGCAAGCGUUAUCCGGAAUUAUUGGGCGUAAAGAGUCUGUAGGUUGUUUAAUAAGUCUGCUGUUAAAUAUUAGAGCUCAACUCUAAAAAAGCAGUAGAAACUAUUAAACUGGAGUAUGGUAGGGGCAAAGGGAAUUCCCAGUGUAGCGGUGAAAUGCGUAGAUAUUGGGAAGAACACCAGAAGCGAAGGCGCUUUGCUGGGCCAUAACUGACACUCAGAGACGAAAGCUAGGGGAGCAAAUGGGAUUAGAUACCCCAGUAGUCCUAGCUGUAAACGAUGGAUACUAGAUGUUGCGCGUAUCGAUCCGUGCAGUAUCGUAGCUAACGCGUUAAGUAUCCCGCCUGGGAAGUAUGCUCGCAAGAGUGAAACUCAAAGGAAUUGA